rnacentral:rRNA from 1 species
CGUAGGGUGCGAGCGUUAAUCGGAAUUACUGGGCGUAAAAGCGUGCGCAGGCGGUUAUGCAAGACAGAUGUGAAAUCCCCGGGCUCAACCUGGGAACUGCAUUUGUGACUGCAUAGCUGGAGUACGGUAGAGGGGGGAUGGAAUUCCGCGUGUAGCAGUGAAAUGCGUAGAUAUGCGGAGGAACACCGAUGGCGAAGGCAAUCCCCUGGACCUGUACUGACGCUCAUGCACGAAGCGUGGAGAGCAAACAGGAUU